GCCAGACUCCUACGGGAGGCAGCAGUGGGGAAUAUUGCACAAUGGGGGGAACCCUGAUGCAGCGACGCCGCGUGGGUGAAGGAGCGUUUCGGCGCGUAAAGCCCUAUCGGCAGGGAAGAAGGAGGACGGUACCUGACUAAGAAGCCCCGGCUAACUACGUGCCAGCAGCCGCGGUAAUACGUAGGGGGCAAGCGUUAUCCGGAUUUACUGGGUGUAAAGGGGGCGCAGACGGCAGCGCAAGCCAGGAGUGAAAGCCCGGGGCCCAACCCCGGGACUGCUCUUGGAACUGCGCGGCUGGAGUGCAGGAGGGGCGGGCGGAAUUCCUGGUGUAGCGGUGAAAUGCGUAGAUAUCAGGAGGAACACCGGUGGCGAAGGCGGCCUGCUGGACUGCGACUGACGUUGAGGCCCGAAAGCGUGGGGAGCAAACAGGAUUAGAUACCCUAGUAA
rnacentral:rRNA from 1 species